UACGGAGGGUGCGAGCGUUGUCCGGAAUCAUUGGGCGUAAAGCGCGCGUAGGCGGCCAGAUAAGUCCGGUGUGAAAGUCAAAGGCUCAACCUUUGAAUGCCGCUGGAAACUGUCUGGCUAGAGUCCGGAAGGGGCGAGUGGAACUCCUGGUGUAGCGGUGAAAUGCGCAGAUAUCAGGAAGAACACCAAUGGCGAAGGCAGCUCGCUAGGACGGUACUGACGCUGAGGCGCGAAAGCGUGGGGAGCAAACAGG
rnacentral:rRNA from 1 species